UACAGAGGUCCCAAGCGUUGUUCGGAUUCACUGGGCGUAAAGGGUGCGUAGGCGGUCGGGUAAGUCUGAUGUGAAAUCUCACAGCUUAACUGUGAAACUGCAUUGGAUACUAUCCGGCUCGAGGAAUGGAGGGGAGACUGGAAUACUUGGUGUAGCAGUGAAAUGCGCAGAUAUCAGGAGGAACACCAAUGGCGAAGGCAGCUCGCUGGGACGGUACUGACGCUGAGACGCGAAAGCGUGGGGAGCAAACAGG
rnacentral:rRNA from 1 species